GAAGAGUUUGAUCAUGGCUCAGAUUGAACGCUGGCGGCAGGCCUAACACAUGCAAGUCGAACGGUAACAGGAAGCAGCUUGCUGCUUUGCUGACGAGUGGCGGACGGGUGAGUAAUGUCUGGGAAACUGCCUGAUGGAGGGGGAUAACUACUGGAAACGGUGGCUAAUACCGCAUAACGUCGCAAGACCAAAGAGGGGGACCUUCGGGCCUCUUGCCAUCAGAUGUGCCCAGAUGGGAUUAGCUUGUUGGUGAGGUAACGGCUCACCAAGGCGACGAUCCCUAGCUGGUCUGAGAGGAUGACCAGCCACACUGGAACUGAGACACGGUCCAGACUCCUACGGGAGGCAGCAGUGGGGAAUAUUGCACAAUGGGCGCAAGCCUGAUGCAGCCAUGCCGCGUGUAUGAAGAAGGCCUUCGGGUUGUAAAGUACUUUCAGCGGGGAGGAAGGUGUUGUGGUUAAUAACCGCAGCAAUUGACGUUACCCGCAGAAGAAGCACCGGCUAACUCCGUGCCAGCAGCCGCGGUAAUACGGAGGGUGCAAGCGUUAAUCGGAAUUACUGGGCGUAAAGCGCACGCAGGCGGUCUGUCAAGUCGGAUGUGAAAUCCCCGGGCUCAACCUGGGAACUGCAUUCGAAACUGGCAGGCUUGAGUCUUGUAGAGGGGGGUAGAAUUCCAGGUGUAGCGGUGAAAUGCGUAGAGAUCUGGAGGAAUACCGGUGGCGAAGGCGGCCCCCUGGACAAAGACUGACGCUCAGGUGCGAAAGCGUGGGGAGCAAACAGGAUUAGAUAC
rnacentral:rRNA from 1 species